rnacentral:rRNA from 1 species
GCAUAUCUAUUAAGCGGAGGAAAAGAAACCAACAGGGAUUGCCUCAGUAACGGCGAGUGAAGCGGCAAGAGCUCAAAUUUGAAAGCUGGCCCCUUCGGGGUCCGCGUUGUAAUUUGCAGAGGAUGCUUCGGGUGCAGCCCCCGUCUAAGUGCCCUGGAACGGGCCGUCAUAGAGGGUGAGAAUCCCGUCUGGGACGGGGUGUCUGCGUCCGUGUGAAGCUCCUUCGACGAGUCGAGUUGUUUGGGAAUGCAGCUCUAAAUGGGUGGUAAAUUUCAUCUAAAGCUAAAUACUGGCCGGAGACCGAUAGCGCACAAGUAGAGUGAUCGAAAGAUGAAAAGCACUUUGAAAAGAGAGUUAAACAGCACGUGAAAUUGUUGAAAGGGAAGCGUUUGCGACCAGACUCGCCCGCGGGGUUCAGCCGGCAUUCGUGCCGGUGUACUUCCCCGUGGGCGGGCCAGCGUCGGUUUGGGCGGCCGGUCAAAGGCCCUCGGAAUGUAUCACCUCUCGGGGUGUCUUAUAGCCGAGGGUGCAAUGCGGCCUGCCUGGACCGAGGAACGCGCUUCGGCUCGGACGCUGGCGUAAUGGUCGUAAAUGACCCGUCUUGAAACACGGACCAAGGAGUCUAACAUCUACGCGAGUGUUCGGGUGUCAAACCCGUACGCGCAGUGAAAGCGAACGGAGGUGGGAGCCCCCUCGCGGGGCGCACCAUCGACCGAUCCUGAUGUCUUCGGAUGGAUUUGAGUACGAGCGUAGCUGUGGGGGACCCGAAAGAUGGUGAACUAUGCCUGAAUAGGGCGAAGCCAGAGGAAACUCUGGUGGAGGCUCGCAGCGGUUCUGACGUGCAAAUCGAUCGUCAAAUUUGGGGUAUAGGGCGAAAGACUAAUC